AGCAGCCGCGGUAAUUCCAGCUCCAAUAGCGUAUAUUAAAGUUGUUGCAGUUAAAAAGCUCGUAGUUGAAUUUCGGGAUCAAUUUAUUGGUCGUGCUAUUGUACGUACUGGUAUUAUUGAUUCCUACCUUCUGACGAACCAUGAUGUCAUUAAUUUGGUGUCAUGGGGAAUCAGGACUGUUACUUUGAAAAAAUUAGAGUGUUUAAAGCAGGCUCACGCUUGAAUACAUUAGCAUGGAAUAACGAAAUAGGACGUUUGAUUCUAUUUGUUGGUUUCUAGGAUCGACGUAAUGAUUAAUAGGGAUAGUUGGGGGCAUUAGUAUUCAAUUGUCAGAGGUGAAAUUCUUGGAUUUAUUGAAGACUAACUACUGCGAAAGCAUUUGCCAAGGAUGUUUUCAUUAAUCAAGAACGAAAGUUAGGGGAUCGAAGACGAUCAGAUACCGUCGUAGUCUUAACCAUAAACUAUGCCGACUAGGGAUCGGAUGAUGUUAAUUUUUAAUGA
rnacentral:rRNA from 1 species